rnacentral:rRNA from 1 species
AUGAAAGCCGCCGCCAAGCCCAAUCCUCCUCCGCUGCCAUCGGCGGCGACUUCGACGCAGCCGUCGACCAAGGCGGCAUCGUCCUCCUCCUCCUCCGCCGCCGAUCCCAACCCCAAGCGCAUCCUCCCCACCGCGGCCGACGCCGCGCACUCAACCCCCUCGCACCCUAAUCCAAAUCCCAACGGCGCGCCCAACCCACCCCCGCUCCUCCCGUCCCCGCACGUCGCCCACCUACAGCCCCUGCCCCCGCCGCGCCCGCUGCUCACCGUCGCGGCGGUGGAGGCCGCCAUGGCAUCCAUUCCACCCCCGCCGCAGUAUGGUCUCGAGUGCCUCGACCGCCGCACCGUCGCGCUCUCCGACGGCACGGUUCGCACCUACUUUGCGUUGCCCCUAGAGCCUCCACCGCAACUCCGCCAGCCGCCGAUAUUCCCUGCGCCCCACUUAGGCCCGCCCGGCCCGGGGCCUGGCCUUAACAGGUGGAUUCCGCCACUGAUGCACGCCGUACCUCCUCCCUGGCCGCCCCAGAAGCGCAAGCGGGAGGGUCAGAGCAAUGGUGGCCCCCCCGUUGAGUCCUCGGGCCGCCAACACCAACAACAUCAGAAACCAGAGGAGAGGCGUACUGCAAAGCAGGUCAAGGUCGAGACGUCAGAGCUGGAUGCGAAAACACUCGAGAGCUCCUUUCUUAAGAUGGUGAGGGUGAUCAACGAAAACACGGAGGUGAAGAAGAAUUACCGGGCCAAUGGACAGAUUUCCCAGCUGAGAUGCGUUGUCUGUAAUAGGGACUCGAUGGACUUGCAUGCACUCCUCAAUCAUUCAUACAAUACGAGGAAUCCAGAGCUUCGUGCAGAUCAUCUUGGGUUGCACAAAGCUAUAUGUGUUCUUAUGGGUUGGAACUACUCCAUAGAUCCUGUAAACAGAAAGGCUUACCAAACAUUAUCUACUGCUGAUGCUGAAGCCAAUCAAGGAGAUCAUAUUUUAUGGCCACCAACAAUCAUAGUUGAGAACACAUACAAGUCAAAUAACGACGGGCAAAAGGAUGCCAUGACUAAUAAAGAGAUGGAUGGCAAGCUCAGAGAAAUGGGGUUCGCCGGCGUGAGUGUGAAGCCACUAGUGGGCAAGGAUGGAGCCAUGCUAGUGACAUUCGCAAGCAACCUGGCUGGUCUGAAGGAAGCUGCGCGGCUUGCUGAGCUCUUGGAGACUGAAGGCCAUGGACGAGCGCAGUGGGUCCACGCCCGGGGCCUCACCCCGUCUUUUGUUGGGGGCAGUAACCCCAUGUUUGUCAAGGUGGAUGAGACGGGCCAACCGACAUGGGUCCUCUAUGGCUAUUUGGCCACGGCAUGGGACUUGGACACGCUUGACGCGGAGUCGAGGCAAAAUGUUGUAAUAAAGAGCAGGAAAGAGUUCGAUUUAUCUGAGUAG